GAUGAACGCUGGCGGCGUGCCUAACACAUGCAAGUCGAGCGAAAACAUGGGGAGCUUUUGCCCCUGACGUUAGCGGCGGACGGGUGCGUAACACGUGGAUAGCCUACCUCUACGACUGGGAUGACUACGGGAAACCGGUUCUACUACCCGAUAAUAUAUUGCACCGCAGGGUUCAAUAGUUCUAGUCGCUUUUUGUGUCUCUAAUAGCCGGUUCCGCGCCGGAUUAGUUAGUUGGUAAGGUAAAGGCUUACCAAGGCUACGAUGCGUAGCCGACCUGAGAGGGUGAUCAGCCACACUGGAACUGAGACACGGUCCAGACUCCUACGGGAGGCAGCAGUAGGGAAUAUUACGCAAUGGGCGAAAGCCUGAUGGAGCAACACCGCGUGAGUGAUGAAGGUCUUCGGGUCGUAAAGCGCUGUUGUUAGGAAAGAAGAAAAGCGGAUGUAACCAUGGCCGUUUUGACGGUACCUAAAGAAAAAGCACCGGCUAACUACGUG
rnacentral:rRNA from 1 species